ensembl:miRNA
CCGGUGGAGCUGCCUUAGGUGCGGAUCUUGGUGGUAGUAGCGAAUAUUCAAACGAGAACUUUAAAGGCCGUAGUGGCGAAGGGUUCGAUGUG